rnacentral:rRNA from 1 species
GAUGAACGCUAGCGGCGUGCCUAAUACAUGCAAGUCGAGCGAACGGACGAGAAGCUUGCUUUUCUGAUGUUAGCGGCGGACGGGUGAGUAACACGUGGAUAACCUACCUAUAAGACUGGGAUAACUUCGGGAAACCGGAGCUAAUACCGGAUAAUAUUUUGAACCGCAUGGUUCAAAAGUGAAAGACGGUCUUGCUGUCACUUAUAGAUGGAUCCGCGCUGCAUUAGCUAGUUGGUAAGGUAACGGCUUACCAAGGCAACGAUGCAUAGCCGACCUGAGAGGGUGAUCGGCCACACUGGAACUGAGACACGGUCCAGACUCCUACGGGAGGCAGCAGUAGGGAAUCUUCCGCAAUGGGCGAAAGCCUGACGGAGCAACGCCGCGUGAGUGAUGAAGGUCUUCGGAUCGUAAAACUCUGUUAUUAGGGAAGAACAUAUGUGUAAGUAACUGUGCACAUCUUGACGGUACCUAAUCAGAAAGCCACGGCUAACUACGUGCCAGCAGCCGCGGUAAUACGUAGGUGGCAAGCGUUAUCCGGAAUUAUUGGGCGUAAAGCGCGCGUAGGCGGUUUUUUAAGUCUGAUGUGAAAGCCCACGGCUCAACCGUGGAGGGUCAUUGGAAACUGGAAAACUUGAGUGCAGAAGAGGAAAGUGGAAUUCCAUGUGUAGCGGUGAAAUGCGCAGAGAUGUGGAGGAACACCAGUGGCGAAGGCGACUUUCUGGUCUGUAACUGACACUGAUGUGCGAAAGCGUGGGGAUCAAACAGGAUUAGAUACCCUGGUAGUCCACGCCGUAAACGAUGAGUGCUAAGUGUUAGGGGGUUUCCGCCCCUUAGUGCUGCAGCUAACGCAUUAAGCACUCCGCCUGGGGAGUACGACCGCAAGGUUGAAACUCAAAGGAAUUGACGGGGGCCCGCACAAGCGGUGGAGCAUGUGGUUUAAUUCGAAGCAACGCGAAGAACCUUACCAAAUCUUGACAUCCUUUGACAACUCUAGAGAUAGAGCCUUCCCCUUCGGGGGACAAAGUGACAGGUGAUGCAUGGUUGUCGUCAGCUCGUGUCGUGAGAUGUUGGGUUAAGUCCCGCAACGAGCGCAACCCUUAAGCUUAGUUGCCAUCAUUAAGUUGGGCACUCUAAGUUGACUGCCGGUGACAAACCGGAGGAAGGUGGGGAUGACGUCAAAUCAUCAUGCCCCUUAUGAUUUGGGCUACACACGUGCUACAAUGGACAAUACAAAGGGCAGCGAAACCGCGAGGUCAAGCAAAUCCCAUAAAGUUGUUCUCAGUUCGGAUUGUAGUCUGCAACUCGACUACAUGAAGCUGGAAUCGCUAGUAAUCGUAGAUCAGCAUGCUACGGUGAAUACGUUCCCGGGUCU